UAGUCGAGUGAUUCAGGCAAAACGAGUCACGGCACACAGCUCAGUAACACGUGGCUAAUCUGCCCUUAGGACGAGAACAACCCCGGGAAACUGGGGCUAACUCUCGAUAGGCGAAGAACUCUGGAAUGAGUCUUUACCUAAAUAGCUGCACGUUAUCCUCGUGCAGUCGCCUAAGGAUGAGGCCGCGACCGAUCAGGUUGUUGGCGAGGUAAUGGCUCACCAAGCCUUUUACCGGUGCGGGCCGUGAGAGCGGGAGCCCGGAGAUGGGCACUGAGACAAGGGCCCAGGCCCUACGGGGCGCAGCAGUCGCGAAAACUUUGCAAUAAGCGAAAGCUUGACAGGGCUAUCCCGAGUGCCAUCCGCUGAGGAAGGCUUUUACCCAGUCUAGAACGCUGGGGGAAUAAGGAGAGGGCAAGUCUGGUGUCAGCCGCCGCGGUAAUACCAGCUCUCCGAGUGGUGUGGAUGUUUAUUGGGCCUAAAGCAUCCGUAGCUGGCUAGGUCAGUCCCUUGUUAAAUCCACCGAAUUAAUCGUUGGAUUGCGGGGGAUACUGCUUGGCUAGGGGACGAGAGAGGCAGACGGUAUUUUCGGGGUAGGGGUGAAAUCCUAUAAUCCCGGGAAGACCACCAGUGGCGAAGGCUGUCUGCUAGAACGCGCCCGACGGUGAGGGAUGAAAGCUGGGGGAGCGAACCGGAUUAGAUACCCGGGUAGUCCCAGCUGUAAACGAUGCAGACUAGGUGUUUGGACGGACACGUGCCGUUCUAGUGCCGCAGGGAAGCUGUUAAGUCUGCCGCCUGGGGAGUACGAUCGCAAGAUUGAAACUUAAAGGAAUUGGCGGGGGAGCACCACAAGGGGUGAAGCUUGCGGUUUAAUUGGAUUCAUCGCCG
rnacentral:rRNA from 1 species